GAAACGUCUUCAAGCAACUUAAAGAAGUCCAGACGCUUUUCUUUGCAAACUCCUUUGACUACGAUGACCUGGAUGACUGAGAACCUUCACAGACAAACCUCUUUCAGGUUGAUGGCAGCGUGUGGCGCUGUGUGUGUGUGGUAGCCUCAGGUUGUUCAGCCUCGGCUUUGUUGAAGCUCAGAUCCGCAGCAGGAAGUGUUUCCGCUGGCUUUUGUUUAAAGGUUGUGCUGUUGUGUGAGUGUGUGGCAGCUUUCCUUUGUGUUUGCCAGGCUCAUUACGAUCCUCUGAUUCUUUUUAUGCAGCUCAGUCACAAGGCUCCGUGUCCUCCACACAUAAUUCAUGUCAGAGUGCAGAGAGCGGGAUCGAGACUCCAAUCAAAGGACUUUGAUCAGACUCACACUCGGCAGAGGAAGCUCGUUACAGACUCAUUAUUGUCCUGAAUGAAUCUCGUUUACAGCUGCUUCAUUGCCUUUGAAAACUCUGACAUGCUCUGACAUCUGUUUGAUUUUAAUCUGUUUUUGUGGCUCAUCAUUGAUCAGUGAGGAGCUGCUAUGCUGCCUUCACUGCCCUCUGUUCCUCUGAGCCUCCACAGUUUAAAGUCUCAGCUGUUGGCUAGUCUGCUGCUGUCUGUUGUGGACAGACGGAGCUUUGAUGUAUUUCAGGUUUCAGGUUUACAGUAACUUUUGUAAGGGGAGGAGCCUCCAUCUUUUUGUGAGAGGAUGUCAUGAUGUCAUCACCUGGUUGGAGCCCAGCUUCAGUCUGCCUGUUGAGGUUUUAUUUAAAGCGAGAGCUUCAGACUCAGAUCUGCAUGUCUGAUCGAAUUUCUGGUGAAUGAUGAAUUCAAGUGUGCAGGUCAGACAACACACAGAGGCUCCAUACCAGGAGACAUACAGACCGCCAGCACCUCUCAGCCAAUCAGAUCGCGCACACACAGUGCGCCCCUGUGUGUUUGCGUUCCAACUGAUCCGAUCUGCGCUGCCGCCUGGGCUGGACGAGCCUCCGGAGGCAGAGCGGGCUCAGAUAACGAGGAUGGUUUCUGCAGCAGCUGCAGGACGCUGACGUAACUCCUCCCACUGAGCUGCUGAACGUGCUGCCAAGAUCCAAACAUUAACGGCAAGAAGACGGAGUGUGCUGCACUCAGCUCGCGGUCUAAUUUUAGCUCAGAGACAAACCAGUAGAUCUCUGCGGCCGACACAUUAACUGUGUGUGUGCUUGCGUGUGUGUGUGUGUGUGUGUGUGUGUGUGUGCGUGCGUGCCUGAGUGUGUGUGUGCGUGCUCAUAUGAGAGAGUGUGUGUGUGUGUAUGAGAGUGUGCAUGUGUGUGGGUAUACCUGUUUAGACAUCUCUGUUGGGACCUAAACUGGAAUGUUACCAUCCUUGUGGGGACCAAAUGCCCAUCCUCAGAGUUUGCAGACAUAUUUGAGGCUCAAAUGUGGUUUUCGUGUCAGGGUUACAGUUAGGCUGAGGGUUAGGGUAAGCAUAGAUGUCCUUACUAAGAUAUCAAAUCGAGAAUGUGUGUGUGUGUGUGUGUGUGUGUGAGACACCCUGCCAGCUGAAUGCCAAACAGUGAAGUCACGCUGUGUGAAUCAUGAGUCAGCGACAUUAGCGAGGAAUUAACAGAAGACUCCACAUCUCCGCAGACCGAGCAGCUGAUCAGUGUUGCCACAGUUACUUUGAAAAAGUAAUAUAUUACGGACUACUGAUUACUUUAUUUUUAAAGUAACUAAGUUAGAUUACUAGUUACUUUAUUAGUUACUUUCAGAAGCUGCCAAUAACACUUCCCACUGCCUCAACAUAUAAACAUCAACCGGUUUUGCCAAUACUCACUUUAUUGGAAGUGUAAUGUCAACAAUAUAUCUCCUGACAUUUGAAGUUGAACUUAAAACUUUUUUCCUGACAGAAAUACUUGUUUGUAUGAAAAUAAAGACAGUCUUGUUACUUCAUGCUUUUUUUAAAAAAUAAAAAAUAAGAGUCUUUCUUGACUUCAUUUAACAUAAAUUCUUUUUAUAAAAAACAAAAACAAACAAAGUCUUUCUUGACUUCCCUUAAGAUACCAUCCACAUGUAAGCACUAUUGUCUGCUUUUGUAACUUCGGACUAAUCUUAUGAAAAAAAAGAGACUGCAGGUCCAACUUAAAUAAAUUGCCUUACUUCCUUGCAAGUAAUUGAUUUAAGUUAAUCAACUUGACAACUUUAAUAAGUUUAUUAAGUGACUUUGAUAAACUUAAUUCAAUUACUUGUAAAUAGUUAUUUAAAUUGGAUUCCCUAUUCUCUUUUUUUCAGUAUAUGUUGUCAUCGCAUGUUAUGGGGGAAACAGUAGAGUGGAACGAGUAAACCAGUGGUUGUACCUCAUUAACAGAAGCUUCUCAAACCUUUUAUCAGAAAGUCGAUUUCUUUUAGACGUGAGCACCAAACCUCCCAGACUAAAAAGUCGCUCCACAGGAGCACUUGAUGGGGUUGGAGUGUUAUACUUUAAAAAAAUUGUCUGUAUGCUUGAAAACUUAUGCAGAAUCUGAAGGUCGUAGCCUGACAUCAGGUAGUCCAUGACUUCUUUUUCUGCAGAAUAGGUCUCCUCCUCUGGCUCUGCCUCAAAAGUGAAAAAGUCCAUCUCACCUUGGCUGCUAGAUGUAGUAGCACUGGGCACACUGGCAGGAUUUUUUGCAACAGGAGCAGUGGUGCAACACUCUGCUGUCAGAAGCUGUUUUACUCGCUCCCUCCUUCCUGCAUCUCUCAGCCAUCGGAGUUUGAAUUUUGGACAACUGGCAGCUGCGAGAAGGGCAUCUUUGUCGUCCAGCACACCGGCAAAACGAGUCUGAAUAGCCUAAAAAACAUAAUCGAUAUUUUUAUGCCUACAAUUUAUUAUGUUAUUGAAUUACUUGCAAACCAUGCCUAAUAUGAGAUCAAUAUAUCACGGCUAAAGCACUUUCUGGAUGGAUGCAAACUGCAUUUCGUUGCCCUGUACCUGUGACAUGUGCAAUGACAAUAAAGUUGAAUUCUAUUCUAUUCUAUUCUAUUCUAUUCUAUAUUUUGGAUUUAAUUUUGUUUUAGCUUACUUAUAAACAUUUUAAUUGUUUUAAUCUUAUUUUGUAAUGAUAAUUAAUAUUCUGUUCCAUGUUUGUGAAUUGUAUGAAGCAAAAAAUUUGACUAAUUUCAAGAUGGAGCGUACCAGUACAAUGGCAUCUGGAAGGCCUGCCAUCAUCCUGGAGAGGUCAUAUUUCACAGCCUGGGUCUUCUGCAUCAGAACUUCAAGUGUUGGUAGUAAAGUUCCAUAUGGACAGUCGCCUUGUAAAAUGCCCAGUGCUGCAGUCAGAGGUUUCAUGGCCAUGCAGUACUCAUGCAGGAACUGGUAUUCUUGAUCUUUGAAGCACUUCAAAGAUAGCAAUAUCUUAGCCAAUAUAAGAAUAAGAAUAAGAAUAAGAACAACUUUAUUUAUCCCGAGGGAAAUUCUUUUGUCAUGUACAUGCUCAAAGCAGCAGGAGAGACAGAGGAACAGAUGAAAUAGAUAUAAGAUAUACAAUAUAUACAAUAAGAAUAGUGUACAGUAAUAUACAGUAGGAUAGUGCAAGACAAAUAAUCGGAUAACUCUAACAAAGUAAUAUACAUAACUAUAUCCUGGUGAAUAAAUAACUAAACUAUCAGUGCAGGCGGUUCUAGAAAGUGACAAAGUAUUGUGCAAUAGAAUAAAGGGAGUAGCAGCAUAUGAUGGGGGGAUGAAAACAAAUAUUCAAUAAGUACUCUUGGGUAAUAUUGCACGGUCUGGAGGGAACAGAAUAACAUAGGUAAUAGUCUUAGGAGAAUCACCUACAGAGUGAGGAAGAGUUAAACAGUCUUAUUGCUACCGGUACAAAGGAUUUCCUGUGACGGUCAGUUCUGCAUUUCGGGGCAAUGAGUCUUUUGCUGCGUUUAUAUACCUAAUCAGAGUAAGAUCACUGUUAAAAAACGCUUCCUUAAAGAAAACUCAGCUGAAUAUUUUAAACUGAUGUACACUUCUACCUUAUUUAAAUCACCAACAUCCACCAACACACAUUCAGUAAACAAACUGACAGAUGAUUUUCUAUCCAAAAUCUCAGACAUGAUGGAUAAGAUUGCACCAUUCAAGGUUAAAACUGUCUCUAGUAAAAAGAAAUCUCCAUGGAGAAGUGAUCCACUGGUAUGUAAUGAAAAAAGAGAGUGCCGGCGUGCUGAGAGAAAAUGGCGGAAAACUCGACUCCAGGUUCACUGCGAGAUAUAUAAAGAGAGGCUGAAUAAGUAUCAACUAGCCCCGAAGGAUGCAAGGGAGUCAUUUUUCUCUGAGAUUAUUCAUAUAAACAACAAUAAUGCUAGGACUACAGUGGAGAGAUUAACUUCUCCCCCAGUGUCAAUAGCCCCUGAAUUAAGCUCCACCAGGGCCUGCAAUGAAUUUGCCAACUUCUUUAUUGAAAAGAUCUUGAAAAUCAGAAGGUCAAUUGGCACAUUAGUUUCAACUCCAAUCCCGACGUUAAGCCCAAUUAGCACUUAUGCAGAGAAAAUGACUCACUUUCAAACAAUAAAUCAAUCAAGCCUCGAUAAAAUUAUUGAGAAUCUAAGCUCUGCCACCUGCUGCUUGGAUAUAUUACCGACAGGUUUUCUUAAAAAGGUCCUCCCAGCCAUCAGGGAGGAUCUGAUCCAAAUAGUUAACGCAUCCAUCCUAUCAGGUGUCUUUCCCAAAGCGUUAAAAACAGCAGUUAUCAAACCAAUAUUAAAGAAAAAGAAUCUAGACAGUACAUUAAUGCAAAACUACAGACCAAUCUCUAAUCUUCCAUUUAUCGGUAAAGUUAUUGAAAAAGCUGUUUUCCAGCAGUUAAACAGCUUUCUCACAAAGAACAACCGUUUUGAUAUUUAUUAGUCUGGUUUUCAUAGGCACCACAGCACCGAGACAGCCCUUGUCAAAGUGUUUAAUGACAUCCGUAUAAAUACUGACCGUGGGAAAUCCACAGUAUUGGUACUACUGGACCUUAGUGCGGCGUUCGACACCGUUGAUCAUGAUAUAUUACUGGAACGUCUAGAGAGCUGGGGCGGACUCUCUGGUACAGCACUCAACUGGUUUAAGUCCUACCUUAAGAACAGGAACUUCUAUGUGUCAAUUAGCCAAUUUUCAUCACAAAAUAUAGAAAUCACAUGCAGGGUUCCCCAGGGUUCCAUCCUAGGGCCCCUCUUAUUUAGCAUUUACAUGCUCCCGUUAAGACAGAUUAUAACCACCAAUAAUAUUAACUACCACAAUUAUGCAGAUGAUACUCAACUUUAUAUUUCAAUGUCACCAGGUGAUGUUGAACCUAUCCAAACCCUUAAUAAAUGCAUUGAGCAAAUUAAUAACUCAUAAUGUCUCAUAAUUUCCUUCAACUGAACAAUAACAAAACUGAAGUACUCAUCUUUGGACCCAAAAAAGAUCGAUUAAAUAUCAGUACUCAGCUCAAACUGGUCCAACUAGAAACUACCGACCAGGCCAGAAAUUUAGGUGUAAUAAUGGACUCAGACCUGAACCUCCAGGGCCACAUAAAAG